GAUGAACGCUGGCGGCGUGCCUAACAUAUGCAAGUCGAACGGAGUCGUUUUGGAAAUCUCUUCGGAGAUGGAAUUCUCGACUUAGUGGCGGACGGGUGAGUAACGCGUGAGCAAUCUGCCUUUAAGAGGGGGAUAACAGUCGGAAACGGCUGCUAAUACCGCAUAAAGCAUUAAAUUCGCAUGUUUUUGAUGCCAAAGGAGCAAUCCGCUUUUAGAUGAGCUCGCGUCUGAUUAGCUAGUUGGCGGGGUAACGGCCCACCAAGGCGACGAUCAGUAGCCGGACUGAGAGGUUGAACGGCCACAUUGGGACUGAGACACGGCACAGACUCCUACGGGAGGCAGCAGUGGGGAAUAUUGCGCAAUGGGGGAAACCCUGACGCAGCAACGCCGCGUGAUUGAAGAAGGCCUUCGGGGUGUAAAGAUCUUUAAUCAGGGACGAAACAAAUGACGGUACCUGAAGAAUAAGCUCCGGCUAACUACGUG
rnacentral:rRNA from 1 species